CUACGGGUCGCUCCAGCGGGGAAUAUUGCACAAUGGAGGAAACUCUGAUGCAGCAACGCCGCGUGGAGGAUGACACUUUUCGGAGCGUAAACUCCUUUUAUAUAGGAAGAAGAUGACGGUACUAUAUGAAUAAGCGCCGGCUAACUCCGUGCCAGCAGCCGCGGUAAUACGGAGGGCGCAAGCGUUACUCGGAAUCACUGGGCGUAAAGAGCGUGUAGGCGGAUUAAAAAGUCAGAAGUGAAAUCCUAUAGCUUAACUAUAGAACUGCUUCUGAAACUCUUAAUCUAGAAUAUGGGAGAGGUAGAUGGAAUUUCUGGUGUAGGGGUAAAAUCCGUAGAGGUCAGAAGGAAUACCGAUUGCGAAGGCGAUCUACUAGAACAUUAUUGACGCUGAGACGCGAAAGCGUGGGGAGCAAACAGGAUUAGAUACCCCGGUAGUC
rnacentral:rRNA from 1 species